rnacentral:rRNA from 1 species
AACGAACGCUGGCGGCAUGCCUAACACAUGCAAGUCGAACGAGACCUUCGGGUCUAGUGGCGCACGGGUGCGUAACGCGUGGGAACCUGCCCUUAGGUUCGGAAUAACUCCCCGAAAGGGGUGCUAAUACCGGAUAAUGUCUUCGGACCAAAGAUUUAUCGCCUUUGGAUGGGCCCGCGUUGGAUUAGCUAGUUGGUAGGGUAAAAGCCUACCAAGGCGACGAUCCAUAGCUGGUCUGAGAGGAUGAUCAGCCACACUGGGGCUGAGACACGGCCCAGACUCCUACGGAAGGGAGCAGUGGGGAAUAUUGGACAAUGGGCGAAGGCGUGAUCCAGCAAUGCCGCGUGAGUGAUGAAGGCCUUAGGGUUGUAAAGCUCUUUUACCCGGGAUGAUAGUGACAGUACCGGGUGAAUAAGCUCCGGCUAACUCCGUG